UAUAGAGAGCAGGAAGAUUAAUGU
rnacentral:miRNA from 1 species